AUGACUAAAGACAAUCUGCUUAAAAGGGGGAUUGACAAAACUCCAGAGUGUCUAUUCUGCUCUAAACAGGAAACUGUAGACCACUUGUUUUUUGGUUGUGUGGUAGCAAAAAACAUCUGGAAUGAGGUUUCCUCCUUUCUCUCUGUUGAUUUAGGGUCUAGCUAUUUCUCCAUUGCCAAAUUUUGGCCUGCAAAUAAGAAACAUGAAAUGCUAAAUGCCUUUUGUUCUUGUGUUUUGUGGAGCCUGUGGAAAAUUAGGAAUAAACUCGUUUUUGAUAAUGCUACCUGGUCUGACAUUAAGCAGAUCUGGUGGCUGGUCUGGAGAACCCUAAAGAGGUGGAUGGUUCUAUACUCAAAGGACUCAGAAGAGAAAAUGCAAAAGAUACUGCACUGGAUAUCCUGUAUCAUCAAAGCACCCCUGACACUACUAGAAAAGGCCUGUUAG
rnacentral:rRNA from 1 species